AGAGAGCUUGCUCUCGGGUGACGAGCGGCGGACGGGUGAGUAAUGUCUGGGAAACUGCCUGAUGGAGGGGGAUAACUACUGGAAACGGUAGCUAAUACCGCAUAACGUCGCAAGACCAAAGUGGGGGACCUUCGGGCCUCAUGCCAUCAGAUGUGCCCAGAUGGGAUUAGCUAGUAGGUGGGGUAACGGCUCACCUAGGCGACGAUCCCUAGCUGGUCUGAGAGGAUGACCAGCCACACUGGAACUGAGACACGGUCCAGACUCCUACGGGAGGCAGCAGUGGGGAAUAUUGCACAAUGGGCGCAAGCCUGAUGCAGCCAUGCCGCGUGUGUGAAGAAGGCCUUCGGGUUGUAAAGCACUUUCAGCGGGGAGGAAGGCGGUGAGGUUAAUAACCUCAUCGAUUGACGUUACCCGCAGAAGAAGCACCGGCUAACUCCGUGCCAGCAGCCGCGGUAAUACGGAGGGUGCAAGCGUUAAUCGGAAUUACUGGGCGUAAAGCGCACGCAGGCGGUCUGUCAAGUCGGAUGUGAAAUCCCCGGGCUCAACCUGGGAGCUGCAUUCGAAACUGGCAGGCUAGAGUCUUGUAGAGGGGGGUAGAAUUCCAGGUGUAGCGGUGAAAUGCGUAGAGAUCUGGAGGAAUACCGGUGGCGAAGGCGGCCCCCUGGACAAAGACUGACGCUCAGGUGCGAAAGCGUGGGGAGCAAACAGGAUUAGAUACCUUGGUAGUCCACGCCGUAAACGAUGUCGAUUUGGAGGUUGUGCCCUUGAGGCGUGGCUUC
rnacentral:rRNA from 1 species